UGGGGGAUAUUGCACAAUGGGCGAAAGCCUGAUGCAGCGACGCCGCGUGGGGGAUGAAGGCUUUCGGGUUGUAAACCUCUUUCGCUAUCGAACAAGGCCCGCUUAGGGUGGGUUGAGGGUAGGUGGAGAAGAAGCGCCGGCUAACUACGUGCCAGCAGCCGCGGUAAUACGUAGGGCGCGAGCGUUGUCCGGAAUUAUUGGGCGUAAAGGGCUUGUAGGCGGCUUGUUGCGCCUGCUGUGAAAACGCGGGGCUUAACUUCGCGCGUGCAGUGGGUACGGGCAGGCUUGAGUGUGGUAGGGGUGACUGGAAUUCCAGGUGUAGCGGUGGAAUGCGCAGAUAUCUGGAGGAACACCGAUGGCGAAGGCAGGUCACUGGGCCAUUACUGACGCUGAGGAGCGAAAGCAUGUGUAGCGAACAGG
rnacentral:rRNA from 1 species